CCUACGGGCGGCAGCAGUGGGGAAUAUUGGGCAAUGGGCGCAAGCCUGACCCAGCAACGCCGCGUGAAGGAAGAAGGCUUUCGGGUUGUAAACUUCUUUUCUCAGGGAAGAAGCAAGUGACGGUACCUGAGGAAUAAGCCACGGCUAACUACGUGCCAGCAGCCGCGGGAAUACGUAGGUGGCAAGCGUUAUCCGGAUUUACUGGGUGUAAAGGGCGUGUAGGCGGGAAAGCAAGUCAGAUGGGAAAACCAUGGGCUCAACCUGUGGCCUGCAGUUGAAACUGUUUUUCUUGAGUACUGGAGAGGCAGACGGAAUUCCUAGUGUAGCGGUGAAAUGCGUAGAUAUUAGGAGGAACACCAGUGGCGAAGGCGGUCUGCUGGACAGCAACUGACGCUGAGGCGCGAAAGCGUGGGGAGCAAACAGGAUUAGAUACCCCUGUAGUC
rnacentral:rRNA from 1 species